CACUGAUAGAUUGUGAACGGGGAACUCCUGCCUGUAUUUAUGAGAGAUCAAAGCACAAGUAUGACUUUCUGUCCAUGGGCUCUGAUGGACUCUGGUGUGCUUUGCAGGUGUUCUAUGCACAGCUAGAGGAGGCCCAAACGUGUUGGAACUCACACCUGUGGGAUAAUUAAAAAAACCUCCCAACUGUGUUCUCUGCAGAGUUAUGGAUUUCUCUGGAAAGUCUAUGCCUCCUUUCUGUGCACUGACCACCUUGUCUAUAUAAUCCUUAGAGGGUGUACUUUUGAAAGCAUAUUGGUUCUGGACUCCCAAAAAAGCCACACUGCUACAGGCAACAUGCGGAAGCCUGGCAUCUGACUAAUGCUCACCAAGUGUUACAAGGCUUGAGUGGAGGGAAAUAUGCAACCUUGUGACCCUGACUCAGAAUAGCCAAACUCCAUCUGCUCUGAAAUUUUAAAUGGUAAGGAUGCCUCCAUUUCUUACUGGACAUAUUUGGAAUUAAGGACUAUCAAUGACUCCUGUCUUAUUCAUUUUAAGCUGCAAAAUCUUCAUGCAAAAAAUUGGA